UACCGUGAAAAAAUUAGAGUGUUCAAAGCAGGCAGAUUCAAUUUUCUGCCACCGAAUACAUUAGCAUGGGAUAAUGGAAUAGGACCCUGUCCUCCUAUUUUCAGUUGGUUUUGGCAGCGCGAGGACUAGGGUAAUGAUUAAUAGGGAUAGUUGGGGGCAUUAAUAUUUAAUUGUCAGAGGUGAAAUUCUUGGAUUUAUGAAAGAUUAACUUCUGCGAAAGCAUCUGCCAAGGAUGUUUUCAUUAAUCAAGAACGAAAGUUAGGGGAUCGAAGACGAUCAGAUACCGUCGUAGUCUUAACCAUAAACGAUGCCGACCAGCGAUUAGGAGACGUUGAAUACAAAACACCACCAUCGGCGCGGUCGUCCUUGGCGUUCGUGUUCACGCACGGGC
rnacentral:rRNA from 1 species